GCCCCACCGGUGGCGGAUUUUCUCAAACAACUCCCAGUUUUCUGUUACCUGGACUGGGAGAGACGAGGGUCCUAAGGAUAUCCACAUUGAUUAUUUCUAUUUUUGUGGAGGAGAGCAGAAGAUGACUGCCCAUGCUGUCAGGGAGAGUUCCCAGUGGAUCUUGUGUAACUGAACAGUCAAGCCUGAGGGUCGCACCAAAUGACCAAGUCCAAGGCAACUGACAUCCAUCACCACCGUGGCCGUGGCGAUAACAAUGUGUACUGAAUGCAACUGUUACUUGUAAGGAACACCACUAACGUAAAAUUGCUUCGCAAAAUUAUUUGCUUGGCACGUGAUCCGGGUAAUGGUCUUAUGACUUACAUGUACAUGUACAUGUAAUUAUUGUAUUGAAUAAUGUAUCUCAUUCUCUCAAGGUGAGUUUGACCAACACUUGGUACGUACUGCACUGACUCUUUGUGUGAGCAAGAGUAAUCUUA